rnacentral:lncRNA from 1 species
GCCUACCAUACCACUGUGGUAUGGUACCACGCUUUUUGUCUUCUUUUAAAACCACCGUUCGAUGAUUGAGAGAAAAUCUAAUGGCUAAAAUAAUUUUUUGAAAUUAGAAGCAAAAACUGACAACUGCUGGAGCCGGUAAUAGAUUAAUAUAAUAUAAUUUGAGUGAUUGGAAAUCUUCUUAAUCGUGGGAAAUUCCUAGUACGGCAACGAGUGAUCUGAUUUCAUCUCAGAUCGAUCUGAUUUCUUCUGUAAUCUAUCUGGAUACAGGAUAUAAUAUUUACAGUGGUUGUCUUCCUCUUCUCAUCGUGGUCUGAACUAUUCACUUGAUGUUGUCACGCUUGCGCUGUUUACAGGUCGGUAAGUACAAUAACAAACCAACAAAUUGCAGUAACAAUUUUGCGUUAGAUAUAGUCAUGCUAGAAUUUUUGUAAGUUAUAUAGUCGAAGAAAAAAGCAGAUAUGGGCCGUGGCGAAGGAAUGGUUGUGAUAUUUUGACGAAAUAUUUGUUUCUGUGAUUCAUAUAGGGUUCUAAAUUGCAGCGAACAAUGUACAAUUAUUUUAUUACCUCUAUCUUACCUCUAAGGCUAUGCCAACACAAAAGCAAUCAAUCCGUCUUUGGGGCAAGGGAUUCAAGUGAUCAGAGCUUCAUCCAGCGCAAGUACACAUAACAAAAUCAUGAAAAACUAUCGGCUUAUUGUAGUUGGAGAACGCCG